AAAUCUCUCAUCAGUCUCCUGGCUCGGCCCUUUGAUGGGUUGGCCCACUUAAUUACCCUGACUAAAAAAGUCUUACUGGAUCUCUUCUCCCUUUUCUUCCCCACAGGUUAAUAACAGAACUCUGGAAGGAUCCUAUUCACAAACAGCUAUCGGGGGUCAUGGAUGAAAAAAGCUUAAGAAGCCCUGGUCUAUACAAAUGAGUCUAAACAAUAAACCUAAUCCUCUUCUCUUCUGAGCUGAUACAAAAGGGAAGGAGAAUUUAUGCCUCUCACAUAUUGGGAAGGUAACCAGAAAAAUUCAAUUUAGGACCUACAGAGUGAGUUUGGCUGGUGAGACUCCCUUGGAGAAAUUUCUUCAUCCAGAGGGAUAAGAGAAGGAAGAUGCUAAGUAAACAAGAGCAAGAAGAAAAAGAAUAUGAAGCAAGCUGAGUUAUCACUUCCAACCAAUAUAUAAAACUUUCUUUUUUCUUCCUUUCUCUUAAACACCCCUUUUUUUCCAAGGCAUGUGUGGGCAACGAUGGCGCCUAAAAAGGAAAGCAGAGAAAUUAAUUAUUCCAUUAAUGUUCAAGAUGCUUGAAGGUUUCAAGCUGUUAAAUUUUUGGAAAGGAGGAAGAGACUCUUUUUUGGCAAUUCAUAGGCAACCAAACAAUUCAAAAACGGUCAUCAUCACCAGCAGAAGGUUAAUAAAAGGCUACUAAAUUAUGUUUAACCAAGACUAUUGAUCUACUGAGAAGACAAUUUACUAAGCUAUCAAGUGAAGAGAGAAGAAAAAUAUCUGGAGUAACAGGAGAAGGAGAUUUAAGGAAUAACAUUCUGAAAAAUUCAACAGUAUUCAAGUCCCAAAACUGAAUCUGUACUAGAAUCUGAGCAUGUUAGCGCUGCAAAGGCCCUUGAGGUCCAACUCUUCAUUUUAUAGAUGAGGCUGCAGAGUACCAACGGAUCAGAAGUGACUGGCCAAACUAAGCCAGUAAGGACCAGCUUUGGGUCAGGGCUCUUUCUUUUAAAUUACAUGGCUAGGCUGCAGCUGACUCCAAAGUGACUUCUCUGUCUGAAUCAUACUAUUCACGAUUUCCAAGAAUCCUGAGGAAAAGAAGGUUAUGCCAAUAAUUUUAGAAUCUCACAGUGCAAACUGGCAAAAAGAAAGGUGACUUAUGGCCUUCAAGUGUAAGGAAUACAGUGAAAGAAUAAAACCAGCAGUAGUAGCCCAAAUUCCCUUUUCUCACCAGUGGGAAGUUUUGAAUAUCAACUAGUUCCCAGGAGUCUUUUCUUCUCCCAAAUAAUAUGAAUCAGAAUCAGUCCCCAAGCUCUUUGACCUCUGUACGCAAUGUCUGGUCUUGCUGAAUCCAGAGGAGAACCCUAUCCCAGGAGUCCUUGACUGGCUGAAGAGAGAGCACCCCAUUCCCUCCAGAGCCACAACAGGAAGCCCAGUUCCCUCAGGAUCUAUUUCCAUUAUUCUCCAUGAUUAUGGUUUGUUGUGAAUCUUCUGGCUAGCUAUCUUUGCUCUCCUCAUACAAGACUAUUGGUAUCCUGAGCCUCUCUCUUUGAGUUUGCUUUACGGCAUGAGGAUCUGAGAACAAGAUUACAAAAGAGACGAAUGAGUAAAUGGUACCUGUCAGUAUCUUGUUAAUUAUUAUCAAAAUUUCGUGCCUAUCUCACUUGGUAGAAUGAUAAAGAUUCACUCAAGAGACUGAAAAGUAAAAAUUUAAGAAGUUUUUCAGAAUCUAAAGCAACCCAAAAAGCUGUAUUUCACAGAGUUCUUUGCAUAGAAAUCAAUAAGGAUAACAUUACUAGAACAUCCAUCAGUACAUCGUAGGUUUUUCCUGGGGGUCUGGCAUGUUUUAGCUUAGGCAGACUUUUGACAUUUACAUCUUGACAUCCCUAUACUCUUACCAUUUAGUAGCACUAAAGACAGGACACCAAUUUAUUGCCUUCAUUUCUUGUUCUAAUUUUGUCUACUUUUCCAAACCAUGCGGAUACCUAUCAAUAAUCCAUCCCUAAAACUACACUAGUACACUUUUUAAAACUAAUAAA